ensembl:lncRNA
UGAUUUUUCUCCACACCCUGGUCCAUCCAGUGAGAGAGUGAGGAGAGUAGUGGUGGUCCACAGAGGGCAGGUAAUGUCAGAGCUCAUUUCACAUUUUAGUGAUAAGGACCUUGAAGAUGUCGACAUCAAAAUCCAGUUCGUACUGCCUGAUGGAACACCUGAAAUGGCCCAUGACGAUGGGGGAGUUGUGAGAGAUUGUCUUUCAGAAUUCUGGAAAGAAUUCUAUGACCAGUGCCCUUCUUAAGGCAUGAUUUUGGGCAACAGGAGUGGGAGAGUGUGGGCAGAAUCAUUGCAUUUGGAUGGGUUAGAGAGAAAUAUCUGCCUGUGAAAAUUGCACCUGCCAUUCUAGAACAAGCUGCCUUUGGAUAUGUAAAGAGUGAUAUUGUGGAGGAUUUCCUUAAGUUCAUGCCUGAAUCUGAGCGUACAGUGUUAGAGGCGUGGCGAUCAGACUUUAGCAUCGUGGACCAAGAAGAACUUAUAGACAUACUUGAUAACCACAGCUGCAGAAAGAUACCAACAGCCUACAAUGCCACUGAAGUCCUAUUGGAGCUUGCACACAAAACACUUGUCCAAGAGCCUGCCUAUGUUAUUGAACAGUGGGCAAGAACACUCAGCACUGCAUGGGAAAGCAUUUGUGAUCUAUCGUCACUUUUUGAAACCCUCCAACCAAAUGUUUUGCACAGGUUCAGAUUUACAUCUUGGAAAGAACAUCAUCAUUGGGUUUAACGAACUUAAAGGUUUCCAGAGACGACCUGUGGCACACACAUGUGGAUGUGUACUGGAGCUGUCGAUAAAUUAAGCACAAAGGUAAAUCAGUCCAUGCAGCUUUUAAUUGUUGUAGAUGGUGAUUCUUACACCUGCAGUAGUCCACAGCAAAGUAUACACAUACUUUGACAAUUGGCUGCUCACCUCAUCAUUCUUCUUGUCUUCGAUGUGCUCAAAGAAGUUCACAGCAUAACUACAGUCAGUAAAGGAUCAUUUGAAGCUGGACAAUCCAUCUCCAUCCCAUCUCUCCAUGACUCCCAAUACAUAAACCAUGUGAAGUACUUGUGUGAAGGAUAUUAUUGGAGAUACCCCCAGUCUCUAUGUGGAUCAUCAGAGAACUACAGGAUAUAUUGGAGGAAACAUAACCAUCAGAUGUCACCACAGUAACUCUGGAGAAAUGAAGUGGUGCAGGCUGGGCAAGAACUGUGUGACAGGAUCAUCAGGAUCUAUAGAUGGUGCAGCAGUGACCACUCACAUGAGAGACCCAAAUGUUUUCACAAUGACCGUGAGUGGACUAAGGUCAGAGGACAGUGGCUGGUAUUUGUGUGCUAAAGAGGACAUUGGGAGACUGACUACCUCUACCCACACUGUUGCUGGAAAUCUAACAUUUACCACAUUCGAAAAUAACCAACAUAGGUGAGAUAUCUUUGUAUUUAUAUUCACUAUGUGUGCAGUAUUAUGGUAUAUAAGUGGUAGAACUUUUCUUGUAAGGGAGUCCGUGUACAUAUUUUUAGAGACACUAUUAUUACUUAUUAAACUAAACUGUGUGUUCUCAAAAUAGAUUUUGUACAGCUUCAUUUGACCCUAAGAGCCUCAUCUUUUGUCUGAGUUUGUUGAUCUUCAUUUUAAUUGCGGUGCCGUUCAACUGUUUUAUAUUAAUAUACAGUAAGUGUUGCUUAACUUUGAUUACAAUUAAAUUCAUGUUCACUUUAUUGUGAAUUGUUGCACAGCAUCAGUAAAAGCAGUUUCGUUUUACUAGAGAAGCAUAAAGCAGAAUCACCAGUGACAGCAAUGGUUGAAGAGGAAGUAACAUACUCAGAAGUUAGAUACCUGAAAGGCAAGAUGGAUGGGGAAGUAACAGACUCCACUGUGAGAAAUGUGGGAAGAAAAACACCAAAGGAUAAAUGCACAGAAGUUACAUACAGCAUCCAUCCAUCCAGUCACCACUGAAAUAUUUAAAAAUUACAACUUUCUGCCUUUUUAUUUUUCUUAUCCGUAGCUGUAUUACUGAAGUCUUUGUCAGAGAAGUGAUGCAAUGUGUUGAAUCUACUGCUCAGCUUGUCCUGUAACUCUUUUCUUUAAGAUCUUUAAGCUGUCACAGUUUAUUUUGUAAUUCUUGAAUGGAAUUCUGGCUGUAAAAGAUGAGUUAAGGCUCCAUCAUGUGGUGGGUUUGAUAUAUGGUUGGAUUUUUAAUGUGAGAGAAUAUCCAUCCAUCCAUCCAUCCAUCCAUCCAUCCAUCCAUCCAUCCAUCCAUCCAUCCAUCUUUUUUCUGCUUAUCAGCUACCAUUCAGAGGAAACCCAUUUCUGCCGCUUGUAUCUGCGAUCUCGUUCUUUCAGCCUUAGAUUUGGAUGUGCUGAUUCUCAUUCCGACCGCUUCACACUCGGCUGCUAACUGUUCCAAUGUGAGCCACAUCAUCACAUCAACCACCACCACAUCAACCACGUCAUCCAUGAAAAGCAGAGAUAAGAUUCUGAGACCACUGAAGUGAAAGCCUUCCACCACUUGGCUGCGCCUAGAAAUUCUGGCAAUAAAAAUUACAAACAGAAUCGGUGACAUAGCCCUGGCAGAGCCCAUCACCCACCAGGAACAAGUCUGACUUAUUGCGGACCGAACUCUUGCAACGGUUGUAUUAGGAUCAAAAGGCCCGUAGCAAUGGGUCAAACACCCCAUACUCCCGGAGCACCUCCCAUAGUACACUCCAAGGGACACGAUCAAAUGCCUUCUCCAAACCCACAAAACACAUGUAGACUGUUGGGCAAACUCCCAUGCACCCUCAAGUAUCCUUGAGAGGAUAAAGAGCUGGUCCAGUGUUCCUCAGCCAGGACGAAAACCACAUUGUUCCUCCUGUAUCCAAGUUUCGACUAACAGAUGGACUCUCCUUUCCAGCACCCAUGUCUGCCAGUCCUGGGGUACUGCCCCACCCCUGAUCUCCACGCAAGAUUGUAGAG